rnacentral:tRNA from 1 species
UCCCUGAUGGCUCAGAGGGUAAAGCGUCUGCCUGCAACGCAGCAGACCCAGGUUCGAUCCCUGGGUCGAGAA